UUUUCUAUUUACAGCGAAUGACAAUCCUGAUAACUCCUAUACUGAAGCCCCAUCAGGUUGCUGGCUAUAUGGUAACAGAGCAAUCAUAUCCCAUGGAUGAUAAAUAUGCUAGUAAUUCAGAAAUGGGGACACAGACAUGCAGCGAUCUUGAUCCUGAUAAUCCUCCCCCACCGUAUGGAGAAAAGGGAUCAACUGUUAAUGGGUCCUCUCAGCAGAGUAAACCUUGUACUGUGUAUGCUACUAGUCUGUAACAUCAUUAGUCACGUCUCUCAGUCGGGCAAACCUUGUACACCACUAUAAGUCUGUAACUGCAUUCACACAUGGCUCUUAACUCUUUUUCUAAUGGUGGUAGCUACGCUGGAUAUCACAAGAUGCUUCCCAUCUUCAUAUUCCUGUGCUUUACUCGUCAUUUCACUACUCCACAAUGGUGACACCAUUAACUGAAUUAUGCAUUUAUACUUGUAUUUAUGUUGUUAAAAUUCCUCCAAGAGGAAUUGAACACCGCUAUAACGAAUUGCUGUAAGCAAAAAGUAACCCUGCUCCUCCAUGUCACAUCAUAUUGUCUGUAAACUGAUUCUAUCACCUGUUGUGGGGAAAAAUGUUUGAGAAACUGCACUACAAUAUUAUGACAUUAAUUUGCUUUUUAAAUUGUGAUUUUAAUUAUAAUCUAUUUAAUCACAGACAAAAGCAUAAUCCUUGAGGUCUAUGACAAGACUAACAUGAAAUAAGUAAACAUACAAUAUGAAUAAAAAUAUCUACAUAUUUGUUUAAUAAUGGGUGAAUUUAAAUAUUUGUCAUUAUUACUGGAAGUUAUUUUUAAAAAUAGAUCUGUAUUCAUUUGAGGUAUAUGUACAAAUGUCAUACACUUUUUGAAUGAUUUUGAUACAUUUAACAAAAAUAUUUAUGUUUUUGGUCACUGGGCUGUUAGCUUAAAUUUUGUGUGUCACAGCAAAAUUCUGUUUAUGAAAAAUAAUUUCAUAAUUUCUGAAAAUAUAAAGCAGCACACAAGCAUCAAUGAAUUGACCAGAAAUAUUUUUAUCAUAAUUUCUCGUGGUUUGACUUGUAGGAAAGUCUUAUAAUUCAUAGUCAGCAACUUGCUCUUCAUAAUUGCUGUUUAUACAUUUCGAGAAAUUCACAUUUUCAAUGAAUAAUCUUGUAUCAUCUUACCGCAUUUUGUAAGUUUUUUUUUUUUACAUUUUCUAAUAAAAUAUUCGUACU